rnacentral:rRNA from 1 species
AUGCAAGCAUGCAUACGCAAGAAGCCGACCAGACCCAUACACAAAUUUCAGUCCCGUGGCUGCGGCAAUGGCAUGCAUCUCCAUGUGAAUUGCGAGUGCAUGUAUUUCCAUAAUGUCUUAAUCUUAACAAUCCAUCUUAUUUCUCUUGUUGUUUCUUUUUUCUACCACCAAACUGACAAGAACGAAAUGAACACAGGAAAGUUAAAAAGGUUCCUAAUUGACUUGGUGGUAGUAUUAGGCGUAGCGGCCUUGAUUUUCGCCAACAAUGCCACAAGGCCCGAGAAGCCUGAGGAUAUCAGGUUGAACGACAGGGGUGAGUGCGUGUACCCUAUGAGCCUGUCUUUGGUGGUGGGUUUGGCCGAGCUGGCUGUCCUUGUGGGCUGCGUCUCGUAUUUCACCUUCCGACACGGAUGCUGCUGGGUGCGCCGCGACGGCGUCUCUGAUUUGAGCUUCGCGCUGGGCAUCUUCUUCGCCAUCCUCGCAUGGUUAUUGGCGUUGUGGGCGGCACGACUAUAUCUCGUCGAUGUGGCGGCGAUCUGGCCGGGGAGGCGUGGUAAACCCCCGGAGUGUUACACCUCUCUUAAGACGGAUCACCAUCACCUUAUGGAGAAAGCAUUCGGACCCUUCAUCUUUGCCAUCGCCUUUGCAAUCGGCUCCUACAAGAAACUUUCCCCUCCUCCUGUACAAACCUAG